CAGUAGCCGCGGGAAUACGGAGGGUGCAAGCGUUAAUCGGAAUUACUGGGCGUAAAGCGCACGCAGGCGGUCUGACAAGUCAGAUGUGAAAUCCCCGGGCUUAACCUGGGAACUGCAUUUGAAACUGUCAGGCUGGAGUCUUGUAGAGGGGGGUAGAAUUCCAGGUGUAGCGGUGAAAUGCGUAGAGAUCUGGAGGAAUACCGGUGGCGAAGGCGGCCCCCUGGACAAAGACUGACGCUCAGGUGCGAAAGCGUGGGGAGCAAACAGGAUUAGAGACCCGAGUAGUCCCUGUCUCUUAUAA
rnacentral:rRNA from 1 species